CUAGCUGUAAACGAUGGAUACUAGGCGUUGAGAGUAUCGACCCUCUCAGUGUCGUAGCUAACGCGUUAAGUAUCCCGCCUGGGGAGUACGCGCGCAAGCGUGAAACUCAAAGGAAUUGACGGGGGCCCGCACAAGCGGUGGAGUAUGUGGUUUAAUUCGAUGCAACGCGAAGAGCCUUACCAGGGCUUGACAUGUCCGGAACCCUGCCCAAAGGCGGGGGUGCCUACGGGAACCGGAACACAGGUGGUGC
rnacentral:rRNA from 1 species